rnacentral:lncRNA from 1 species
UCCGUCUCCGGCCGAGGAAUCCCAGGCAGUGUUUAAUUGCAGAGUGCAAAGGCUGUUGUUGGGCUAAUGAGCUCAGCACCGGAGCCGAGGCUCCUUCACGCGGUCGUGGAGGGACAGAGCCGCGCGGAGUCCGUCGCCACGGGAGCCGCGCGGAGCGAGCGGAGUUCAGGCGGCGCCGAGAGAAGGAAUUCGCACAUUCAGGUACGGUCGGCUCCGUGAGGGAAUAUACCACAGGCAACAGCCAAAGUGAGAGGUGGAGAAGGAGAGGACAGCGGGAGAGAGGAGGGGAGGGGAGGAAACGGGAAAUACACAGCCCGAGAGAGAGAGAGAGAGAGAGAGAGAGAGAGAGAGAGAGAGCCUGCAGCAGCAAAUGAGACAGAACAACGAGGCGGGAGAGGUAGAAAGAGAGGGAGGGAGGGAGGAGAAGGGCCCCGUGUAGGAGACAGGGCUACAGGGGUGGAGGGAGAAAAAGUUAGGAGAAGUAGGAGAACGAGUGGAGGGAGGAGGAGAACGGGUGUAGAGACGAAGAGAAGAAGAAGAAGGGAAACAACAGGCAGGAAGGAAAGGGAGGGAGAGGAGAGACCGGAGCCGAAGAAAAGUUUUCUUGUGGGAAGACGCGGAUGAGGAAAGCAGAGCGAGUGAAUGACUGGGCUGCAGGCGGCAGGCAGGGGCGGAGACCGCUGCUGCUCUGAACGCUUUCCUCGCCCGCCUCGCGACUCCUUGGGACAUGUACACAGACGGCGCUCAGACCGCGGGCUUCCACCGCGUCCUCCAGCACGGCGCCUGCCACGGCUGCCUCCGCCCCCGGCAGCCCAACGGGCCGGGGCGCCGGGCCGGGCGGACGGCUCCAAGGGGGAGAGACAGGACCGGAGCCAGCGCUCAGCGCAGCCCACAGAGGAGGCCUGUGUUCGCAGGGCCGGGUCAUCACGACCCGGCGCCGGACCCGGACCCGGCCCAGCGGAGCCCCCCGCCGGAGGCCGGGCUGAGGCGCCUCCCGCCCGUCCCGCCGUGUGGCUGCGCGGCGCUGGUGCCACAUCCUCUCCCCCAUCUCCAGGUCAGAGGUCACGGGCACCGGCACCGGAGGAGCGUCAGAUACGUCACGGUGGAUGAGCAGGAGGAGGAAGGAUGCGGGUGCUCCUCCGGGCCACGCAGCCCCCCUCUGCCCCUGCCCAACGGCCUCGGCGGAGCCGGGCCUGCCUUCCUCCAGCACGGCGCCGGGAGAGAUAGCCAUCAGGACCGGGCCGGGCAGAGGGGCGGAUCAGAGGACUGCAACGGGCAGAGCGGCGCCCACAGAGGCUUCUUCCCCACAGAAGUCCCACAGCAGCACUUGAACCAAAGCAGGAGGAGGACCCCCCCCCACGCCGCCUCCUCCGGCGUCACCAGCCCAGAGUCCUCCAUCGCGACAACCGCCACCGGCCACCGGUGCCGCGCGUCGGAGGCAGCGAGGCAGAAGGGCCGACGGGACUCGGUGAGGGAUCAGAUCCGACAGGUGGUGACGGAUCUGGAGGACGUGUUGGGGGGUUUGAAGCAAGUUCACGUGGAGAUGAAAGAGGUGGUCCAGCAAAUCGAUCGCCUCACAGCCAACAUGGACCUCGGCGACGAGACGCCGGCCAUCGCUCAGGAGUCGACCAGCCGCCCCCGCGGCUCCGCACGCGCGGCGGACGCCGGGCCGGUCCUCGCGGACGAGGACCGCAUCAUCCUAAGGACUAACUCUCCGUCACCUGUCCAUGUCGCGUCCGUCGUCAAAACCAGCCGCUUCACCCCCCCCGCUCACGCCAGGGACGCCGACCGGCCGGCCGCCAACGGCCACCUGCCUCACAUGUGCCCCCCGGGAGACCCCCCGCACUCGGACCCGCACCAGCACCAGCACCCGCGGAGCCUGGACCCCAAGGUCAUCGUUGGGAACAGCACCUCCACCUCCAAGAACCACAAGCCUCCGCCGUAUCCGCAGAACGGGCGGUGUGGCAAGGGUCUGCACGCGCCCCCCAGGCCUCUGAAGACCCCCGCCCACCCGAGCAGGGGCCGCCAGAGCACCAGCAUGGUGUGAGGGAGGGAGGGGGUGGUCUGCCCCGGUGCCACGGGGCCCGAAACAUGAGACCCUGGUGCAGCAAAUGGAGGUCAAAGAGAGCAGGCGGGGGAACAACUCAUGGUGAGUUCAGGAACACGUCGACCUUUCUCCUUUGUUGAUGUUUGUGUCUGAGCUGAUGACGUUGGCCGUGUUUACUGGCACUAAAUGAAUUGCAGCCGCCUGUUACAGAGGGGAGUUUGUGUGUGUGUGUGUGUGUGUGUGUGUGUGUGUGUGUGUGUGUGUGUGUGUGUGUGUGUGUGUGUGUGUGUGUGGCGGCUGCGUGUGGGCGGUGGUGGAGUGGGCGUAGUGUAUCUGCUUUUGUUGAUGUCACAUGAUUUCCCAGCCUCCACUCCACUGCAAAACGUGUCGGCCUCGUUCCGAGUGGGGAGCGUGACGCGUGUGGUCGAGAGCAGCAGGGAUCGAGUUUCACGCGACGCAGUGAACGGCUUUCACAUCAAACGCGUGGAGUUCUCUCAAAGCAGCGCAAAAUUCCUCCACUUUAACCACUCGACUUUGCAGAUAAAAUCUCGAGUCGAGUUUUUUUACAGUGUAACUUAGUCAUGACUUCGAGGGAACUGAAAGUUGGCAGCGGCUCCGUCUUUUCUGGGCCGUUCUGGUGUCACGUGACACGAGAGAAGCGUCAUUAUAUUUACAGGACCAUCGAGGCUCUGACUCAGAGCCGGCGUCAUUUCCCGGUAGCGCCACAUUCAGAUGAACUACAAACCAGAAGCAGACGCUCAAUAACAACCCGACAUCUGUGAAACCCGUCCCUGCGGCUCCGGAGAGGAGUCAAACGGCAGAUGCUCGUGUUAAAGUCCCGCAGACGUCCACCGGUGCUGCAGAGUCACACGCGCGCCUUUCUGCACCCCCCUCUUGCGCGGACUAUGCGGAACUGCAAUCUAUUUUUCUGGCGUCUGACUUGGGCAAGCUCAAUCUGGUUCUGAUCAUAAAACCCGGCCACGUGCUUUACGUGCGACGUCCAUGUAGACGAAGCAGAGCUCCAGCCCAUUCUGCUGCAGCUUUAGGACGAGAGACGGCAGUCAGAGCGGCUGAUGGAGAGGAGGGGUCUAAUUAUGACGUUUGAUAGGAUAGAGGCGUCCAUUUAACCAGAUGAGGAGUUAUUAUUGAGCCACAGGAGGUUUAAUGCAGCCUUUUUGCAUUCAGAAUCUAUUAAAGCACGGAUGCUGUUCUUUAAAGGCCUGAUUCAUCUGAAUUAGUCACCCAGAGCAGGUUCAAUGUUACACUGACCAUCAUCACAAGACACACACACACACACACACACACACACACACACACACACACACACACACACACACACACACACACACACACUCACAGCUUUUUAUAGGAAGUCAUCACAUUUAAAGGAUGCGCUAGAUUCCAAAAACGUCUUAUGUCCCCAAAUAAGCAGAAUCCAGGGGUCACUGGGACAUCGUGUAUCAUGAUUAAUGCUGCUGAACAAAGGUGUGUUUUAUCAAUUUACCACUAACAUACUGUAACAAUCAGCCUGUUUGUGCUUCAAUAUUAAACAUUAUUGGCCCCAAAUGUGAACGGAACACAUUAUAAGCCACGUCUUCUUCCUGAUAGGAAGCGUGGGUUUUACAGGUUUUCGGCUGAGAUAUGAAUGCGUGCUGUGCAGAGCCAACGCGACUCGUGUGUUGUUGACCGGCUCCACUCUCUUCUGUCAGACCGACAGCAUGAUUCUCUCCGACGGCGUCUUCCAGGCGGCUCUUUGGGCCCGUCGUCUGUGACAGCUGUAAUUCCUGGCGGUUCGACAGACUUUCUGCUGUACGUCUGCAGUAAAGAUGUCUGGAGACUCUAUAAACUUGUUUUCAGUUGUCCUGGAUUUAUUUCCUUGGCGCGUUGGAGCAACCUUCAAAAACUCCUGGAUAAUGAAAACUCUGUUUAAAAGACUCACUCUGAAACCUAAUAGCACCGUGUGAAUUCAGCUUUAUGUAUAAAUUGUGUUUGUGCUUUGUUGCUUGUAUAAAGAGACCACAAACAAUGUGACAGCCUGCACAUUUUCUCAUUAUCAGCCAAUGAACACUGGUUUUCAGAGAUGCACACAUCUGAACACGCACCUACAUCGUCCCCACAACUUUGAUAAACCCUGCUCCACUGUUCUCCUCCGCAAAUGACUCAAGACGCACAAGGACACACACAGCGCCUCACUUCCAGCACAGCACAGAUUAGGGCGCGUUUCCUCAGAAACGCCAUGUGACCGGCGCCUCCUUCGUACGUGGAGCUCUGAAUCUAAACUGUUCCCCCCUUUGUUUGUCACGCUGUCUGCAGCAGGAGCUGAUGCCGCUGAGACGAGCCGUCAGCCGGUGGAAACGGAGCGCGGCCCGAAGGCGGGGACGGAACGGACCGGGUCGACCCAUGGCCGCACAUCAUGCGAGCACAGACGCAUGGACGGGUGCCAGUCGAACCUCCCUGGAAGAACAUUUAUGUUUCUACUCCUUGAGCUGAAAGGAUAAACUGUGAACUGCUACAACCCAGAUACAUGCCAGUAUAACUUAUUUUUAGUAUUUUUAUUGCAGAAACAUCUAUUUUUAGGCAGCUUACACCAGUCUAGAUACUACCUAAACAAAUGUAUGCUAGAUUAGGAUUUAUAUAAUCCAAACUAUUGUAGAGAUACUUAACAGUCCUUGCAGCUACGUGGGAAAAGGAGACUAGAUGAGAUUAAACUGCAAUACAACCCAUUUCGAUGCACUUUCCCUCAACGAAUCAAUCUGACGUCUCAGCCAUCAACCUCUAGAGAUGCACUGACUGCUGAAUGUCCCACAUCUGAGCGUGGAAUACGAUAAACGACGCCAGCACUUCGUUGCCCCCGGCUCUGGGGUAUUUUUCACUCGGCACUGAAGCAGGAGUGAGUUGUGGAAGUUGGAGGGAGGCUCCGGCUGAUGUGGAGACGGCAGCGCGCGGUCCCUCGCUGCUCGACUCAGACCUCCGCCAUCGGAGCGCAGCUCUCGUCCCGCCACCUUCCGCCUGCGUAUCAGUGAAGCUGCAGCGGCAGAUGGAGAAUGACACAUGCAAACUGUUCACUGUCCUGGACACUGAAUAGUAAUUGUUCCAUGACAAGUGAGAGGUGAGGGUGCAGGGAUGAUGAGCGAGUGGAGGCCACGUACCAACGGAGUCCAUUAGACUGAAAGGACCUCCCCAGAGCUUAAGGUCACAGGAAGACGCUAAAUCAGAGCCACAGACCUGUAGGUGGUAAAUAAAAGGGUGACAGGGAGCA